AGCCCAGACUCCUACGGGAGGCAGCAGUGGGGGAUAUUGGACAAUGGGGGGAACCUUGAUCCAGCGACGCCGCGUGAGUGAAGAAGUAUUUCGGUAUGUAAAGCUCUGUCAGCAGGGAAGAAGAAAGUGACGGUACCUGACCAAGAAGCCCCGGCUAACUACGUGCCAGCAGCCGCGGUAAUACGUAGGGGGCAAGCGUUAUCCGGAAUUACUGGGUGUAAAGGGAGCGUAGACGGUAAUGUAAGUCUGGAGUGAAAGGCGGGGGCCCAACCCCCGGACUGCUCUGGAAACUAUGUUACUGGAGUGCAGGAGAGGUAAGCGGAAUUCCUAGUGUAGCGGUGAAAUGCGUAGAUAUUAGGAGGAACACCAGUGGCGAAGGCGGCGUACUGGACUGUAACUGACGUUGAGGCUCGAAAGCGUGGGGAGCAAACAGGAUUAGAUACCCGAGUAAUC
rnacentral:rRNA from 1 species